rnacentral:rRNA from 1 species
UACGAAGGGGGCUAGCGUUGCUCGGAAUCACUGGGCGUAAAGCGCACGUAGGCGGAUUGCUAAGUCAGGGGUGAAAUCCUGGAGCUCAACUCCAGAACUGCCUUCGAUACUGGAGAGCUCGAGUCCGGGAGAGGUGAGUGGAACUGCGAGUGUAGAGGUGAAAUUCGUAGAUAUUCGCAAGAACACCAGUGGCGAAGGCGGCUCACUGGCCCGGUACUGACGCUGAGGUGCGAAAGCGUGGGGAGCAAACAGGG